GCGCGCAUAGCUCAAUUGGUAGAGCGCCACAUUGACGUUGUGGAUGUUCUAGGUUCAAGUCCUAGUGCGCGCA
rnacentral:tRNA from 2 species